rnacentral:pre_miRNA from 1 species
AAAUUACUCCCUCCAUCCGAAAAUAUUUGUUGCAAAGAUGGAUGUACCUAGAUGUGUUUAAGUUUUAGAUAUAUCUAUUUUUAUUCAUUUCUCUGACGGGUAUUUUGGGACGGAGGGAGUACCAU